rnacentral:rRNA from 1 species
UUUCCCUCAGGAUAGCUGGCACUCGUAUUAACGAGUCUCAUCUGGUAAAGCGAAUGAUUAGAGGCAUUGGGGCCGAAACGACCUCAACCUAUUCUCAAACUUUAAAUGGGUGAGAUCUCUGGCUUGCUUGAACAUUAGCAAAUGAAGCCAUGAGAAUUUAAUUGUGAAUGGAUCAGAGUGCCAAGUGGGCCAAUUUUGGUAAGCAGAACUGGCGCUGUGGGA